rnacentral:lncRNA from 1 species
GUGGUUUACAGGCUAUCUAAGCAGGUGUCAGAAAGCUACAAGUCUUUCAGCAAGUGAUCUCUGCUGUGCAAGGCCUCUCUCCUGCAGAUGGAAGUUAGCCAUCUCCCCACCAAUCAGUUUGGAUCUGAUAAAUCCUAAGAGACUGUUGUACACUGGCAUGGGUAACUGCAAACUGCUGUUGGAGACAUUUAGUUUUGCAAAGCACAGAAGAUGCACAAAAAACAAUGACAG